rnacentral:rRNA from 1 species
AAUGAUGGGAAUUUAAACCCCUUCCAGAGUAUCAAUUGGAGGGCAAGUCUGGUGCCAGCAGCCGCGGUAAUUCCAGCUCCAAUAGCGUAUAUUAAACUUGUUGCAGUUAAAAAGCUCGUAGUUGAAUUUCUGCUGUUUCGUUGACUGCGUUUGGCGUUUGUCAUCGUUGCGGCUUGGUUGGGUUUCGAUUAUUCGUUUCCCGGCGUUUACUUUGAGAAAAUUAGAGUGCUUGAAGCAGGCUUUUGCCUUGAAUACUUUAGCAUGGAAUAACGGAGUAGGACUUUGGUUCUAUUUUGUUGGUUUUAGGAGCCAGAGUAAUGGUUAAUAGGAACAGUUGGGGGCAUUCGUAUUUGACUGUCAGAGGUGAAAUUCUUAGAUUUGUCAAAGACGAACUACUGCGAAAGCAUUUGCCAAGGAUGUUUUCAUUAAUCAAGAACGAAAGUUAGGGGAUCGAAGACGAUCAGAUACCG